CUUCCCUCUCUCGCAUGGAGGGAGUGAUAGAAUUUCCAGAGCCAAGAAUUUCCGGGUAUCAUCAGCAUCUUUUGCCUCCAGAUAACGUGACUCCCUGGCUUCACAGGGGAACUGCCUCAGAGCCACCAACACCAAAGCAACGAUUGGGAGAAUGUGUUCGGGCGCUCCCUGAAAUUCCACGGAUGUCGAUUCGAGGAGCGACGCGUGCUGAGCAGCCUGACUCUGGGCGUCCUUGCAGGCUGCUCAGUGGGACGUCCUGGUGGUUACGCCUUUUUCCACGUCUCAGAGGAUUGGUCGAAGGACAGUUACUUUGUUACAGCAGCUGAGACAUUUAUGACAUUACUCUCAGAAAAGCCUGGGCCAGAUUCCUCCCAGGGUGGGACGCCCGUGCCAGAGCCCACACCCGUGCAGCACUCGGCUCAGUAGCUGUCUCCAAACCACUUUGCUGGAGGAAGGUGAUUCUUUAGAGUUUAAGUCUGUGCUUCUCAAAUCCUCUGUGGUGAAGACUGGUUGUUGAAGCUUUUCCAAUCUACCUCAGACCAAUACUGGA
rnacentral:lncRNA from 10 species